AUACGGAGGAUCCGAGCGUUAUCCGGAUUUAUUGGGUUUAAAGGGUGCGCAGGCGGCCAUUUAAGUCAGCGGUUAAAUCGUGGGGCUCAACCCCAUUCUGCCGUUGAUACUGGGUGGCUUGAUUGCGGUCGAGGUUGACGGAAUUCGUUGUGUAGCGGUGAAAUGCAUAGAUAUGACGAAGAACACCGAUUGCGUAGGCAGCUGACCAGACCGCAAAUGACGCUCAUGCACGAAAGUGCGGGGAUCGAACAGGAUUAGAUACCCUGGUAGUCCGCACAGUAAACGAUGAAUACUUGUUUUCGGCGAUAUAAUGUCGGAGGCAAAGCGAAAGCGAUAAGUAUUCCACCUGGGGAGUACGCCGGCAACGGUGAAACUCAAAUGAAUUGACGGGG
rnacentral:rRNA from 1 species